UGGGGAAUAUUGGACAAUGGGCGAAAGCCUGAUCCAGCAAUGCCGCGUGAGUGAUGAAGGCCUUAGGGUUGUAAAGCUCUUUUACCCGGGAUGAUAAUGACAGUACCGGGAGAAUAAGCCCCGGCUAACUCCGUGCCAGCAGCCGCGGUAAUACGGAGGGGGCUAGCGUUGUUCGGAAUUACUGGGCGUAAAGCGCGCGUAGGCGGCUUCGCAAGUCAGAGGUGAAAGCCCGGGGCUCAACCCCGGAAUUGCCUUUGAGACUGCGUCGCUAGAAUCCGGGAGAGGUGAGUGGAAUUCCGAGUGUAGAGGUGAAAUUCGUAGAUAUUCGGAAGAACACCAGUGGCGAAGGCGGCUCACUGGACCGGUAUUGACGCUGAGGUGCGAAAGCGUGGGGAGCAAACAGG
rnacentral:rRNA from 1 species